UACGAAGGGGGCUAGCGUUGCUCGGAAUCACUGGGCGUAAAGCGCGCGUAGGCGGAUCGUUAAGUCGGGGGUGAAAUCCUGGAGCUCAACUCCAGAACUGCCUUUGAUACUGGCGAUCUUGAGUCCGGGAGAGGUGAGUGGAACUCCGAGUGUAGAGGUGAAAUUCGUAGAUAUUCGGAAGAACACCAGUGGCGAAGGCGACUUACUGGACACAUAUUGACGCUGAGGCGCGACAGCGUCGGGAGCAAACAGG
rnacentral:rRNA from 1 species